ACAUGCCUACAAAAUAGCGUUAAUGCAUCGGAUCUCAUUAGAACUCCGCAUUUAAGCACGCUCAGGCUAGAGUAGUAUUGGGAUGGGUGACCGCCCAGGAAGUACUAGUGUUUUAAAUGCC
rnacentral:rRNA from 1 species